CAAUAGCGUAUAUUUAAGUUGUUGCAGUUAAAAAGCUCGUAGUUGGAUUUCGGAUGGGAUUUGCCGGUCCGUCGUUACGAUGUGAACUGGCCAGUCCUAUCUUGUUGUCGGGGACUAGCUCCUUGGAUUCACUUCCUGGGACUAGGAGCUGACGAGGUUACUUUGAGUAAAUUAGAGUGUUCAAAGCAAGCCUACGCUCUGAAUACAUUAGCAUGGAAUAACACGAUAGGACUCUGGCUUAUCUUGUUGGUCUGUGAGACCAGAGUAAUGAUUAAGAGGGACAGUCGGGGACAUUCGUAUUUCAUUGUCAGAGGUGAAAUUCUUGGAUUUAUGAAAGACGAACUUCUGCGAAAGCAUUUGUCAAGGAUGUUUUCAUUAA
rnacentral:rRNA from 1 species